GGAAAGGAGGGGAAAUUACCCAUUUAACAUUUGUUCCCACAAUGGACAGAAAUUAAUGAAAUAGAAAUUCCUAAGCUCCGAUUCUCGAACUUCCAUAUCUAAAAUCUUAUCUAUAGAAAUAAGAAUCUUCCUUCUAAGGGCAUAAUGAUAUAAGUUUUUGCUUUCUUCCUAUCUCUCAAUUAACAUACGAACACAAUCAAAAAGAAAUUCAAAUAAUUUUCUUUACAAUUCACUUCCCUCAAACAAUUUCCCUUCUUUUCCCCUGCACCAUAAGAAGCCAAACUAAAAAUGCAACUUUCACAGCUCCAUUUCCUUUCUAUUCUAGUU
rnacentral:misc_RNA from 1 species